AACGAACGCUGGCGGCAUGCCUAACACAUGCAAGUCGAACGAGACCUUUGGGUCUAGUGGCGCACGGGUGCGUAACGCGUGGGAAUCUGCCCUUGGGUUCGGAAUAACAGUGAGAAAUUGCUGCUAAUACCGGAUGAUGUCUUCGGACCAAAGAUUUAUCGCCCAGGGAUGAGCCCGCGUAGGAUUAGCUAGUUGGUGGGGUAAUGGCCUACCAAGGCGACGAUCCUUAGCUGGUCUGAGAGGAUGAUCAGCCACACUGGGACUGAGACACGGCCCAGACUCCUACGGGAAGCAGCAGUGGGGAAUAUUGGACAAGGGGCGCAAGCCUGAUCCAGCAAUGCCGCGGGAGUGAUGAAGGCCGUAGGGUUGUAAAGCUCUUUUACCAGGGAUGAUAAUGACAGUACCUGGAGAAUAAGCUCCGGCUAACUCCGUG
rnacentral:rRNA from 1 species